rnacentral:rRNA from 1 species
UACAGAGGGUGCAAGCGUUGUUCGGAAUUAUUGGGCGUAAAGCGCGUGUAGGCGGCUUUGCAAGUCGGGUGUGAAAGCCCUCAGCUCAACUGAGGAAGUGCGCCCGAAACUGCAGAGCUUGAAUACCGGAGAGGAUGGCGGAAAUUCCCCCAAGUAGAGGUGAAAUUCGUAGAUAUGGGGGAGGAACACCGGUGGCGAAGGCGGCCAUCUGGACGGCUAUUGACGCUGAGA